rnacentral:rRNA from 1 species
UGCAGCGACGCCGCGUGCGGGAUGGAGGCCUUCGGGUCGUGAACCGCUUUUACAGGGGAGCAAGCUUUCGGGUGAGUUAACUUUGUGAAUAAGCACCGGCUAACUACGUGCCAGCAGCCGCGGUAAUACGUAGGGUGCAAGCGUUGUCCGGAUUUAUUGGGCGUAAAGGGCUCGUAGGCGGUUCGUCGCGUCUGGUGUGAAAGCCCGCUGCUUAACGGUGGGUUUGCGUUGGAUACGGGCGGGCUUGAGUGCAGUAGGGGAGACUGGAAUUCUCGGUGUAACGGUGGAAUGUGUAGAUAUCGGGAAGAACACCUAUGGCGAAGGCAGGUCUCUGGGCUGUUACUGACGCUGAGGAGCGAAAGCGUGGGGAGCGAACAGGAUUAGAUACCCUGGUAGUCCACGCUGUAAACGGUGGACGCUGGAUGUGGGGCCCAUUUCCACGGGUUCCGUGUCGGAGCUAACGCGUUAAGCGUCCCGCCUGGGGAGUACGGCCGCAAGGCUAAAACUCAAAGAAAUUGACGGGGGCCCGCACAAGCGGCGGAGCAUGCGGAUUAAUUCGAUGCAACGCGAAGAACCUUACCAGGGCUUGACAUGUUGACGAUCGCCUCAGAGAUGGGGCUUCCCUUCGGGGCGUCU